GCCCGCCUAGCUCAAUCGGAUAGAGCGUCAGACUCUUAUCUGCUCAGGCGGGAAUCUGAAGGCUGCGAGUUCGACCCUCGCGGUGGGCU
rnacentral:tRNA from 1 species